rnacentral:rRNA from 1 species
AUUGAACGCUGGCGGCAGGCUUAACACAUGCAAGUCGAGCGGGGGAAGGUAGCUUGCUACUGGACCUAGCGGCGGACGGGCGAGUAAUGCUUAGGAAUCUGCCUAUUAGUGGGGGACAACAUCUCGAAAGGGAUGCUAAUACCGCAUACGUCCUACGGGAGAAAGCAGGGUAUCUUCGGACCUUGAGCUCAUAGAUGAGCCUAAGUCGGAUUAGCUAGUUGGUGGGGUAAAGGCCUACCAAGGCGACGAUCUGUAGCGGGUCUGAGAGGAUGAUCCGCCACACUGGGACUGAGACACGGCCCAGACUCCUACGGGAGGCAGCAGUGGGGAAUAUUGGACAAUGGGGGGAACCCUGAUCCAGCCAUGCCGCGUGUGUGAAGAAGGCCUUAUGGUUGUAAAGCACUUUAAGCGAGGAGGAGGCUACUUUAGUUAAUACCUAGAGAUAGUGGACGUUACUCGCAGAAUAAGCACCGGCUAACUCUGUGCCAGCCGCCGCCGUAA